CAGUAGCCGCGGGAAUACGUAGGUGGCAAGCGUUGCCCGGAAUUAUUAGGCGUAAAGGGCUCGCAGGCGGUUUCUUAAGUCUGAUGUGAAAGCCCCCGGCUCAACCGGGGAGGGUCAUUGGAAACUGGGAAACUUGAGUGCAGAAGAGGAGAGUGGAAUUCCACGUGUAGCGGUGAAAUGCGUAGAGGUGUGGAGGAACACCAGUGGCGAAGGCGACUCUCUGGUCUGUAACUGACGCUGAGGAGCGAAAGCGUGGGGAGCGAACAGGAUUAGAUACCCCAGUAGUCCCUGUCUCUUAUAC
rnacentral:rRNA from 1 species